rfam:Triticum aestivum genome assembly, contig: Triticum_aestivum_CS42_TGACv1_scaffold_249726_3DL
AUAGUACUCCCUCCGUCCAAAAUUCUUUUCUUAGAUUUGUCUAAAUACGGAUAUAUCAAGUCACAUUUUAGUAUUAGAUACAUCCGUAUCUAGGCAAAUCUAAGACAAGAAUUUUGAGACAAGGGAGUACGUU